GCUGUGGUAGUUCAGUGGUAGAAUUCUUGCCUUGCAUGUGGGAGAUCUGGGUUCAAUUCCUGGCCAAUGCG
rfam:Loxodonta africana unplaced genomic scaffold scaffold_10, whole genome shotgun sequence.